UGGCGAUGAUGACACUUUCUCACCUGAAGUGACCCUGAGGGGUGAAUCGAGCUUUUUAACCCUGAGCCCC
rnacentral:snoRNA from 1 species